rnacentral:pre_miRNA from 1 species
CCAGCUUUGGUAGAGAGCUUCAUCUUCUGAGCAGAUUCAAUGCCCGAACCCUACAUAACAGGAGUCGUCGGUAUGACACCAUUUUUGUAGGGUCAGGUAUUCAACUGCUCAGAAGUUGAAGUUAGACUUUACUUGCAGGGUGG